rnacentral:RNase_P_RNA from 1 species
CGAGUAAGACAUGCAAUCGCUGCUAGUCUUUGAACUAGGGGAGGAAAGUCGGGGCUUCACAGGGCAGGGUGCUGGAUAACGUCCAGUCAAGGCGACUUGAAGGAUAGUGCAACAGAAAUAUACCGCCUAUUUUUUAGGUAAGGAUGGAAAGGCGAGGUAAGAGCUCACCAGCGUGAUGGCGACUUCACGGCUAUGUAAACCCCACCUGAAGCAAGACCGAAUAGGGAGACGUUUAAGGAGUUGCCCGCUCUGUCUCCGGGUGUGUCGCUUGAACCUAUUGGUAACAAUAGGUCUAGAUAGAUGAUUGCUUAAUACAUGACCCCGCUUACGGCUUAUCUCGCACC